UACGUAGGCAGCAAGCGUUGUUCGGAGUUACUGGGCGUAAAGGGUGUGUAGGCGGUUCUUUAAGUUUGGUGUGAAAUCUCCCGGCUCAACCGGGAGGGUGCGCCGAAUACUGAGGGACUAGAGUGUGGGAGAGGAAAGUGGAAUUCCUGGUGUAGCGGUGAAAUGCGCAGAUAUCAGGAGGAACACCAAUGGCGAAGGCAGCUCGCUGGGACGGUACUGACGCUGAGACGCGAAAGCGUGGGGAGCAAACAG
rnacentral:rRNA from 1 species